GAGAAUGAUGGCUGCGGCUGCUGUGAGAAUAAACCUUAGAGAUUCAGGGGAAGAAAAUGGAAGAGACUGAAUGGAUUUUAACCAGUUCCAAGGCUGAGAAGACCAAGUAUCUGUUGUCGUUCAGUGGGGGUUUGUGUGAUGAAUUUCUGAGCUGAGAAGAACACUGGACUGUUGCAGACAGGGAAAUAGAGAUCUGAGAAGAGUUCUGGUUCAAUUGAGAGGUUAGGAUUUGCAGAGAAGACCUCUCUGAAGCUAGUGAUGAACACUGUAAGUGGAUGGUAUGGAAGAAGGAAUUCGAAGACAUGAAGCAGAUUCGUAUUGGAUGGUUGAGAUAUUCAAGGUUUAAAAGUUUGACAAACCUGGGAAACUUGGGUUUCAGUCGGAUUUGAAUUUGCCAGAGAUUGAGAUGGUGUAGCUGCUGGUGAUGAGAUACGAUGGUGGAAUCAGAGAUGAAACUGAACUAAUGUUGAACUGGUAUUGAAUGGAAGAUUCAAGAGAUGGGGUUUGUCUUAAAUUUGCUGUUGAUUACAGGGAAUGGAGAGUUAUGAUGUUCUUGGGGUGUAUGAUUUAAGGGUUAGAGAAAUUCAUGAAGUUUCUGUGUUUGAGCUCUGAUUUAGAAUGGUGAGAAAUUGGCCUGAAAUUGCAGUCUUGUAUGGCUUUGAAGACUAGAAGAAUGCAGGUGCAAGUACAAUUGCAGUUAGGAGAUGGAAUUGGCAGUGGCAGCUGAUACACUGAGCAGGGAAGUGUUGCAGCUGCAAUGGAGGAACUCAGUGAGAAAUUAGAGAGUGACAGUGAAUGGAUUGAACUGGUCCUGUAAUUGAAUGAGAACUGGUGAUGUGUGUUGCAGGGAAGUGAGAAGUGGUGGUUGCUUGAACUGAUUGAAGCCCCAGAUGGAAUUUGUACUAACGCCUAGAAGUGAUGCUGCUGAUGUCAAUGCAGCUGUAGGAAGUGAACUGUUGCAGGUGCAAGUAGUUCUGGCAGGGAUAGAGCUGAAGAUAAUGAGAAGUGUUGCAGUAAUGGAGAAGCUGGUAUGGUGGUUUUAUUGCUGCAGCUGAAGGAAGGAAUUGGUUGUUUGGCCGUAACAGCAUUGGAUGCACUAGGGUUGUAAAGAAUGGGAGUUGGUUGGCAGUGGAAGCAAGCUGGUGGUGGAGGAUUAGAAGACUACCUAAUAUUGUAGAGGAGACUACUGCAGUUGAUAAACUUGGUAUGCUGAAGCAUGGAGGUCCUAGAAUGGUUUUAAGAAGCUAAUAGAAAAUAGAACUGAAGUUGUCUAAUUGAAUUGCUGGCAAGUAAAGAAGGGGCUUUGGUUGGAAUCUGCGAAUGAUUUUGUGGUGGAAGUUUGCUUGAGAACUGAAGCUACAGGGAUUGUAAAUGGGAGUUAAAGUGCAGUAAUGGAUUGCAGGUUGGCUUGAGCUGUGAACUGGUUGGCAUUGCAGCUGUUGGAAAUGGGAGUUAGUGUUUUGCCGAGACAGGGAAUAUCAUAGAGUGGAGUUGUGGCUGCUAUUGAGGCAACUGAGAAGAAGAGACAGUGCAGGUUAGGAGUUGAACUGGACUGAAAUGGCAAAGGUUCUGGUGGAGUUGCUGGUGCAGAAUGGAUGUGACAUUACUGAAUUGAGUCCACUGACUCGGUCUACUUGACCCUAGUUGACUCAGUUGACUACCCGAGUUAACACGUUUUGCCGGUGACCGGGUGGACUUUUCCGGUCGCUUCACCAGUUUUCCGGUGACCUCUUUUGGGACAUAUUUUCACUUGGGUACUUUUCACAUAUGGGCUUGUUGGACCACUUGGACUUUGGACUUUGAAGACCUAGUUUUGGAAAGAGGAAAAGUGAUGAGUGCAAAAUAUUGCAUAUUUCUACACCUUUUUAUUGGCAAUUAACUGAUCUUUUGUGCUUUAAAAUCAUAUAUUAUCUCAGAUUCUGUAUUUUCAUUGUUUUCAAGAAUAAUUAUUUUUACUAAUUAAUUUUGUGCUUUUAGGUAUAAAUAAAGCCUGGAUGAACUGAGAAGCCAAAAGAGCAGGAAAUUGGUGGCCAGAGGCGUAAAGGUUAUGAGGAGUGUAGAAGAAGUAUCGUGCAAAAAUCUGCUUGCACACAUUCGAAAACCGUCCGCAAGAACCACACUAGCAUUGGGCCUGGAAGAAGUGAAAGAACCCUAACCCAAAGCCUGACCCGUUUUCAAACCCGGAUCAUCAAAUCUGAUGCCCCCGUUUAACACCCUACAACUAUUCAAGAUCAAGAGCAUCUCCACUUGUUGCAUCAAAGUUUGAUUCCAAUGCUUCACAUUCUAGCGCCCUCUAUUUCCUCCCCUACUCGAACAGAAACCAAACCUAUCUCCAUUUCCUCUUCAAUUUCACAGAACCAGCACCACCGACCCUCUCCUCCAUCAAAUUCAUCUCCCCGACAAUCUCUGCUCACAGCCACCAACACAGUUAAACUCUUAAUCUCUAUCUCUCUCAAUCUUUUCUUUUUCUUUAUCAAGAACAGUAACCCUAGGAGCUAGGAUUGAGAGAGAUAAGACUAGGAACUUGUUUGUUUGCAGCUGACUCGGUGUCUGGGUCUGAGUCAACCCCUGACUCGCAUCGAGUCAGCAGUCAGAUCGUUUGUUUUCCACUUAUUGUAACCCCUGACUCGUGAGCUGACUCACUAUCAACCUCUGACUCGGACCCUAUGGACUCAGGGACAGAGAUACCCCUGAAUCACUCGCUCCAACUCCUGACUCGUACGAAUUUUCGAAAAUACCCUUGUUGGGCAUAUAACUCGUUUCAUUUCCUUUCUCUCUUUUUUUCUCUCAUUUCUUCCAUCCAUCGAGACCAUCGAUGGAAAAUGAUGAAAAACCCGAUCUGAUGUCUCAUUCAUCCCCUUCUCAACAAAUCUAAUCAUCUCUUUCAUCGGUAUCAACUAAUCUCUCCAUUGUUUCAACUCAUCAUCUCGUUUUAAAAGGGUCAUCAACGUCAGGAAAUAAAGAAGAGGGAUUAAAGGUUUCAGAAGCAAUUAAGAUCUAGGAUACCACCACUGCUGCUCAAUUUCAGGUGGAUUCUUAGUUUGCAGGACAAUUUGGAAAUUCUUGGUAACUUGUCAUUUGGAAAUUACUUCAAAACUCAAUCUAGAGAAUCUUAGAUUGUUGAGAUUCGUAGUUCCAUCCGCAGAUUGGUAACAUGAAGUUAAAAUUAAGAAUCUCACUUCAUUGUGCCUGUGAUAUCAUGUUUGGAAGGAAGGAAUUGUUUCCGUUAAUUGUGCCGAUUAGCUCGAUUAUGCCAAUAAUAAUUUGUAAAUUGGGAUUAUGUUGAAGUUAGAAGCAACUUAGGAUCCAUUUUAUAGGCACACGUUGAAUGUUUAGCUUUUAAUUUUAAGAACUGCCAAUUGAAAUCAUACAGUGCUUUGUAGAAGCCCAUGGGGUUUAUCGAGUACUUGUGCAAUAGCAUAGUGGAUUAAAUAUUUUUAUUUGUAUAUGUGGUAAUGGUUGAAAUGGUGUUUGCAAUAGAAUUUUUGGGUGUAAUAGUAUUAGUGUGGACUAAGCAAAGUCUAAGGUCUGAUUGUAAUGGAAACAAGAUAGGGAUAUAUGUCAGAUUUUGGCAACUAAAGUCGAAUCAUUAAUGGUGUAUAUAAUGGAAACAAGAUAUGGAUAUUGUCUGACUUUGGCAACUAAAGUCGAAUCAUAAAUGGUAUA